CCACAUUGGGACUGAGACACGGCCCAGACUCCUACGGGAGGCAGCAGUGGGGAAUAUUGCACAAUGGGGGAAACCCUGAUGCAGCGACGCCGCGUGGAGGAAGAAGGUCUUCGGAUUGUAAACUCCUGUUGUUGAGGAAGAUAAUGACGGUACUCAACAAGGAAGUGACGGCUAACUACGUGCCAGCAGCCGCGGUAAAACGUAGGUCACAAGCGUUGUCCGGAAUUACUGGGUGUAAAGGGAGCGCAGGCGGGAAGACAAGUUGGAAGUGAAAUCUAUGGGCUCAACCCAUAAACUGCUUUCAAAACUGUUUUUCUUGAGUAGUGCAGAGGUAGGCGGAAUUCCCGGUGUAGCGGUGGAAUGCGUAGAUAUCGGGAGGAACACCAGUGGCGAAGGCGGCCUACUGGGCACCAACUGACGCUGAGGCUCGAAAGUGUGGGUAGCAAACAGGAUUAGAUACCCUGGUAGUCCACACCGUAAACGAUGAUUACUAGGUGUUGGAGGAUUGACCCCUUCAGUGCCGCAGUUAACACAAUAAGUAAUCCACCUGGGGAGUACGACCGCAAGGUUGAAACUCAAAGGAAUUGACGGGGGCCCGCACAAGCAGUGGAGUAUGUGGUUUAAUUCGACGCAACGCGAAGAACCUUACCAAGUCUUGACAUCCCUUGACGAACAUAGAAAUAUGUUUUCUCUUCGGAGCAAGGAGACAGGUGGUGCAUGGUUGUCGUCAGCUCGUGUCGUGAGAUGUUGGGUUAA
rnacentral:rRNA from 1 species